rnacentral:sRNA from 1 species
GAUGUUGGACCAUGUGGGUGCAGAUGCGGCCAUCAGAACCAUGUCCGGGUUUUGGCGCUAUCCUGUAGCGCGGACCCCAAGUUGCGCUCACCAUUGGCCCAGUUGACUCCCUAAACGACAUACGCACUACUGCAAGUUGCGACUGGAAAAAUUAAUCAUUGCACCCUUGUCCAUGAAGCAUAUUGCAUGCAGCUACCGUAUGGGUCCACAUCCCAUGGGAUAUUUGAACCCAGAAAACAUUCCACGCUGUAUGAUCAAAAUAUUCUGACUCGGGCGGUUAACGCCGAAGCUGAAACCGUUGUCACCUUGGAUUGCUUGAAGGAU